rnacentral:rRNA from 1 species
CCUACGGGGCGCAGCAGUGAGGAAUAUUGGUCAAUGGGCGCGAGCCUGAACCAGCCAAGUAGCGUGAAGGAUGACUGCCCUACGGGUUGUAAACUUCUUUUAUAAAGGAAUAAAGUGCGGCACGUGUGCCUCUUUGUAUGUAUUCUAUGAAUAAGGAUCGGCUAACUCCGUGCCAGCAGCCGCGGUAAUACGGAGGAUCCGAGCGUUAUCCGGAUUUAUUGGGUUUAAAGGGAGCGUAGAUGGGUUGUUAAGUCAGUUGUGAAAGUUUGCGGCUCAACCGUAAAAUUGCAAUUGAUACUGGCAGCCUUGAGUACGGUUGAGGUAGGCGGAAUUCGUGGUGUAGCGGUGAAAUGCUUAGAUAUCACGAAGAACUCCGAUUGCGAAGGCAGCCUACUAAACUGCAACUGACAUUGAUGCUCGAAAGUGUGGGUAUCAAACAGGAUUAGAUACCCGAGUAGUC